rnacentral:rRNA from 1 species
UACGGGGGGAGCAAGCGUUGUUCGGAUUUACUGGGCGUAAAGGGCGCGUAGGCGGUCAGCACAAGUCAGUUGUGAAAUCUCCGGGCUUAACUCGGAAAGGUCAACUGAUACUGUGCGACUAGAGUGCAGAAGGGGCAACUGGAAUUCUCGGUGUAGCGGUGAAAUGCGUAGAUAUCGAGAGGAACACCUGCGGCGAAGGCGGGUUGCUGGGCUGACACUGACGCUGAUGCGCGAAGC